rnacentral:rRNA from 1 species
AACGAACGCUGGCGGCAUGCCUAACACAUGCAAGUCGAACGAGACCUUCGGGUCUAGUGGCGCACGGGUGCGUAACGCGUGGGAACCUGCCCUUAGGUUCGGAAUAACUCCCCGAAAGGGGUGCUAAUACCGGAUAAUGUCUUCGGACCAAAGAUUUAUCGCCUUUGGAUGGGCCCGCGUUGGAUUAGCUGGUUGGUAGGGUAAAAGCCUACCAAGGCGACGAUCCAUAGCUGGUCUGAGAGGAUGAUCAGCCACACUUGGACUGAGACACGGCCCAGACCCCUACGGGGCGGAGCAGUGGGGAAUAUUAGGCAAGGGGCCAAAGCCUGAUCCCGCCAUGCCGCGUAAGUGAUGAAGGCCUUAGGGUUGUAAAGCUCUUUUACCCGGGAUGAUAAUGACAGUACCGGGAGAAUAAGCUCCGGCUAACUCCGUG